rnacentral:rRNA from 1 species
UUCAUCAUAAGCGGAGGGAAAAAGAAACCCACCAGGAUUGCCUUAGUACCGGCGAGUGGGAGCGGCAACAGCUCAAAUUGAAUCUGCCUCUCUAGGAGCCCGAGUUGUAUUUGCAGAGAUGCUUUUGCACGGCACCGAACAGUUCCUGGAACGGACGCCACAGAGGGUGAGGAGCCCCGUCUGGUCGGACGCCUAGCUCUUUUAAAGCUCCUUCGACGAGUCGAGUAGUUUGGGAAUGCUGCUCAAAUUGGGAGGUAUAUGUCUUCUAAAGCUAAAUACCGGCUAGAGACCGAUAGCGCACAAGUAGAGUGAUCGAAAGAUGAAAAGCACUUUGAAAAGAGGGUUAAAUAGCACGUGAAAUUGCUAAAAGGGAAGCGCUUACAACUAGACGUAGGGGCAUUCAAUCACCUGGUGGUUUCCGCCAGGGCACUUGGGUGUUUUUCCUAGGCCAGCAUCGGUUUGCUGCGGGGGAUAAAGACGCUAGGAAUGUAGCCCCUCUCGGGGGGUGUUAUAGCCUGGCGUGUAAUGCCCUGCAGCAGACCGAGGUCUGCGUAUUCUGUACAAGGAUGCUGGCGUAAUAGUUGUUAGCGACCCGUCUUGAAACACGGACCAAGGAGUCGUCCUCGUAUGCGAGUAUUUGGGUGUAAAACCCCUGUGCGAAAUGAAAGUGAACGUAGGUGAGAGCCUGUUACAGGGCGCAUCACCGACCGAUCCUGAUGUUCUCGGAUGGAUUUGAGUAAGAGCAUACGGGGCCGGACCCGAAAGAAGGUGAACUAUGCCUGCGUAGGGUGAAGCCAGAGGAAACUCUGGUGGAGGCUCGCAGCGGUUCUGACGUGCAAAUCGAUCGUCAAACGUGGGCAUGGGGGCGAAAGACUAAUCGAACCUUCUAGUAGCUGGUUUCCGCCGAAGUUUCCCUCAGGAUAGCAGUGUCGAGCUCAGUUUUAUGAGGUAAAGCGAAUGAUUAGGGACUCGGGGGCGCCUUUUAGCCUUCAUCCAUUCUCAAACUUUAAAUAUGUAAGAAGCCCUUGUUGCUUUAUGAACGUGGCCUCGAAUUAGCGACUCCUUACCAC